rnacentral:tRNA from 1 species
GCCGGGGUGGCCGAGUGGAUAAGGCGCAGGCCUUGAGAGCCUGUGGCCCCUCGGGGCCACGUGGGUUCGAAUCCCACCCCCGGCGCCA